UACGUAGGUGGCGAGCGUUGUCCGGAUUUACUGGGCGUAAAGAGCGCGCAGGCGGUCGUUCAAGUCGCGUGUGAAAGCCCCCGGCUCAACUGGGGAGGGUCACGCGAUACUGAUCGACUCGAAGGCAGGAGAGGGUAGUGGAAUUCCCGGUGUAGUGGUGAAAUGCGUAGAUAUCGGGAGGAACACCAGUGGCGAAGGCGAGUCUCUGGGCUGAUACCGACGCUGAGGCGCGAAAGCCAGGGGAGCAAACGGG
rnacentral:rRNA from 1 species